UCGAGUCCGAACCAACUACUGAAAGAAGAAUCAACUGAUACGAGGCGUUCAGACUCGAGAAGACGGGGAGACAGAAGAAGAGGACUGCAGCAGAAUCACGGAAACAGAAGCUCAAGCGUGCCUACAAGCGCGUGCAGGAGUCUCUGCGUGGCACCAAGGCGCGGAUCAGCCGAGAGUUUGAGCGCCGGAGGGAGCAGCUGAAGGAGGAGAGGGAGGCGCUGGAGUGCGUGGACGAGGAGGGCCGCUCCGUGCUGUCCCGCAUCCAGGCGGACAUCGCUCGCUACGAGAGCAGAGCACGUGGCCUGGAGCAGGAGUUCAACCAGCUGCUCGCCGCCCUCGCUGUACAGGACCCGCUCUCCUUCCUGCAGGAUCCCCUGCAUUAGAGUCUCAGAAGGAGCUCCGUCUCUCAGGAGACUCAGGAUGACCCAGCCCCUGUCUCCCACGGUCUUAACCUCGCAAAAGUCAUCUCAGUGGGAGGCAUCCGAACGAAUCUCCUGGCUGUUGUGUAUGGACGCUCACCGACUCUGGACACAAACUCAGCCCACGACGACCUCCAGAUUUCCUCGGAUCUCAGGACGGCGACGUGGAGCGGUGUCCCCCAGGGUCGCCCCCAUCACCCUCACCGCUUUGAGUGCUGGCGGCAAGCGCUGUGCUCUGAGAGCUUCUCGUCGGGUCAGCACUACUGGGAGGUGGACGUGGGGAGUGCGAGGCGGUGUCGGGUUCGAGUCGCGUACGGGACGAUCCCACGGAGAGGGCGUGGUGCUGAGUGCCUCCUGGGAGUGAGUGACGUCUCCUGGUGUCUACGGAAACAAGGCGACAGCUUCUCAGUGGUGCAUGGCGGGGUAGUGACGUCACUGUCGGUGCCGUAGCCUCCGCGGAGAGUCGGGGUCCACCUGGACUGGGACGCGGGGCUGCUGUCGUUUUACAGCGCCGACUCCAUGGCGCCGUUGCACUCGUUUCACCAAACAUUCACUCAGCCCCUACAUCCUGGGCUGUGGAUGUGGAGUGACUCAGUGAGGAUUGUGGAUCUGAGUGGUGCGUCCUUAGAGCAGUGAACGUGAACAGCCCAGAGAGCAGACGCCACGACGCACGGCGCUCGCCACCCUCGUCACCGUCACGCGCAGCGCCACGCCCGUGACUAGCUGGUGGCUGUCGGUGGCUAGGGCUGCGUGGCUCUCCAUCACAACGUGGGGGGGCUGAGCGUAAACAAUCCUCACAACCUUAAUGGGGGGAGGGGUGAUACAAUAAUUACCGCUCUGUGUGUGUGUGAAGCCAGCGUGGAUGUAUUCACCCUGCCAGAGGAGUGGUGUAAUGGAUUGUGGGAGAGAUAAAACAAUAUCAAUUUAAAAAAGUAUAAAUGUACGCGUACGACAGUGGCGUUGCAAUGCUUGUAUCGUCGAUUCUACAAUAAAAAUACAGAACACAACAAAAACAAUGUAGUUGUGUACAGCGUCAUUCGUGCUCACUGCAUCCCGCAACGCUGUUCAUUAAUUAAACACGAGGACCAAAUUAUCUACACAGCCACUGCCAAGCAAAUUAAAUCUACAAAUUAAUAAACAAAUAA